GGACCCAGGUGGUAGAGGCUCUGACGGCAGAGGCACCAGUGGCAGUGGCAGAGGCCCAGGCAGUAGAGGCUCUGGCGGUGGAAGCACCAGCGGAAGCGGGAAGGGCCCAGGCAGUAGAGGCUCAAAUGCCUGUGCCUCUGCUGCUGCUGCAGGUAUCUUUGCCGCCAGAGCCUCUUCCGCCUGGGCCUCUGCCGCCGCUGCUGCUGCCUCCGCAGCCUGAUCCUCUACCGCCUGGUCCUCUG